GGGUUUGGCCGAGUGGUUAAGGCGUUGGACUUAAGUUCCAAUGGACAAGUGUCCGCGUGGGUUCGAACCCCACGCCCA
rnacentral:tRNA from 1 species